rnacentral:rRNA from 1 species
UACGUAGGGUGCAAGCGUUGUUCGGAAUUACUGGGCGUAAAGAGUGUGUAGGCGGUUUUCUAAGUUUGGUGUGAAAUCUCCCGCUUAACUGGGAGGGUGCGCCGAAAACUGGAAGGCUUGAGUGCCGGAGAGGAUAGCGGAAUUCCCCGGUGUAGCGGUGAAAUGCGUAGAUAUCGGGAGGAACACCUGUGGUGUAGACGGCUAUCUGGACGGCGACUGACGCUGAGACACGAAAAGCGUGGGGUAGC